UGUUCUGUGGCUUAGUUGGUUAAAGCGCUGGACUAGCAAUCCGGAUCGUAGGUUCGAGUCCCACCAACACAU
rnacentral:tRNA from 1 species